UAACGGCCUACCAAGGCGACGAUCAGUAGCCGGUCUGAGAGGAUGAACGGCCACAUUGGAACUGAGACACGGUCCAGACUCCUACGGGAGGCAGCAGUGGGGAAUCUUCCGCAAUGGGCGCAAGCCUGACGGAGCAACGCCGCGUGAGUGAAGAAGGGUUUCGACUCGUAAAGCUCUGUUGUCGGGGACGAAUGUGGAGAUGGUGAAUAACCAUUUCCAAUGACGGUACCUGACGAGGAAGCCACGGCUAACUACGUGCCAGCAGCCGCGGUAAUACGUAGGUGGCGAGCGUUGUCCGGAAUUAUUGGGCGUAAAGGGAGCGCAGGCGGGAAGGUAAGUCUAUCUUAAAAGUGCGGGGCUCAACCCCGUGAGGGGAUGGAAACUAUCUUUCUUGAGUGCAGGAGAGGAAAGCGGAAUUCCUAGUGUAGCGGUGAAAUGCGUAGAUAUUAGGAGGAACACCAGUGGCGAAGGCGGCUUUCUGGACUGUAACUGACGCUGAGGCUCGAAAGCGUGGGGAGCGAACAGGAUUAGAUACCCUGGUAGUCCACGCCGUAAACGAUGAAUGCUAGGUGUAGGAGGUAUCGACCCCUUCUGUGCCGGAGUUAACGCAAUAAGCAUUCCGCCUGGGGAGUA
rnacentral:rRNA from 1 species